rnacentral:snRNA from 1 species
GGGGGGUGGGGUACCAUGAUCACGAAGGUGGUUUUCCCAGGGAGAGGCUUAUCCAUUGCACUCCGGGUGUGCUGACCCCUGCAAUUUCCCGAAAUGUGGGAAACUCGACUGCAUAAUUUGUGGUAGUGGGGGCCUGCGCUUGCACUCUCCUCUG